UCCUCAAGACAGCGGGCAAGGCGCACAUGACCCCGGGAAUGAGCCACAGACAAGGGUAGACGGCCCAGAGAGUCAGGAAUGCUCAGCGCCUGUCGGUUCCAACGGAAAAGGAGCACAGCAGCUUCCAGGUGUCCCAGGGCACAAGCCCACAUCUGGGGAGAGGGGCACAGAGGUUCCCACCACUUUGACCUCUGAUGGCCCAUCACUUCUCCCAGUUUGAGUUCCUGUGUGGCCUCAGUGUCCCCUACUCCCACUGCCAACUUCCUCCAGUCCAUCUGGAGGACCAGACCUCUCACACCCUUGCCUGUUAUGUGCCUUCACAUCAGCUCAGGUGGACCCUCCCCUUGUUCCUCACUGUGGACCUCCCUCCUCAUGGAAGUACCUGAACUGGAGGAGUGUCAGGACCCUGGCAAGGUGUCUGUCCAGCUGCUGCAAUCUCUGCCAUCCGCUUCUCCAUCUGCUCCAGUCGCUCCAGUAUGGACAUCCGGAACUGGUUGUCUGAGGGGGAAUGGGUAUGGGAGCUGAGUGGGCAGGGUCUAGGUGAUGCCCUCAACACCAAAACUGGACCUGUCCCAGGAUCUGGGGGGUGAAGACACAGAAUCACUCUUUUCUCUUCCCCCAAACAGCAGCCCCUUUACCCACUCACCUUCUCAGUAAAGCCCGCCAGGACUCAGUCCUUAAUUUAGAGCUUUUAAUACUACCCAAGACCUAGAACCAGUAUCCAGAACCAAGAUUGUUUCCUUCAAGACACAGACAGUAGGAAUUCCCAGACAGCCAUCUAGCCCCCAGCUGGCCCAAAUCACACAUGUACACACCCUCCCCCCGCUUUUUUCUAGGUGAAUGUUCUAUCAGUUCUCGCCCCAGAUACUACCUUUGUCCCCCAUGCUGGGGCUGAAGGACACCAGGGUCCCUUCUUUCUGUUAACCAGUACCCAAAAGAGCUCAGGGACUGUGACCUGAAAGCACCACCCCCUCCUCCCAGCCCCCCGCAGCUGUCCAUAAAGAGGAUGGCGGGGGAGGGAAGGUGACAGAGAUGAAUAGCCAUGUCCAUUCCUCCUUCCUCCCACCCCAUACACAAAUACACAUACGCGCACACACGCACGCACGCACACACACACACACACACACACACCCCAAGCUAUAUCUGUCCCCUCCUGAGAUCAAACAAGGACAAGGAAGGGAAACAGGAGGGGCUCAGAGCCCUGGAAAAACAGGCACAGAGAAACUGAGUGAAGGUCGGGGGUGUUCUGAGAUGCCAGGAUAGAAGGGGAUGAAGGAAGAGAGGUGACAGUGGGGGAGGGAGGCAGAGAACGCUGAGCAGAAACCCAGAUAUAACAGAGAAGAGAGAGAACAGAAAAGAUAAACAAGGUGAAGGAGAUGAGAGAAAAGACAAAAGAGCAGGGGGGAGUACCAAACCAACAAUAAGAAAGGCAGACAAGAAGAGAGGCAAGUUAAGAAGAAAUGGCAAGAAGAGGGAGGGAGGAAACUCAUACAAGAGAUGGUAAAACAAAAAUUACACAGGGACAGAAAAAUGAGAUGAACAAUCAGAGCAGGACAAAGAACAGGACCGAGAGACCGGGCAAGAGCCCAAGGCAGGCAGACUCGAAGCAGACAGGCAACCCAGCACACAGGCUUUGUGACUGGGGCCAGCUCCAAGAGUGGCAAAAGGAGGGACCAGAGCCCCUAGGGGAGAGAAACUGGCAUGGAGGGACAAACUUGAUAGGGAUGACAGCAGAACGGACAUCCGAGAGGCGACAAUAGAGACACCAAGAGGAUGACAAAGGAAAGCAAACAUCAAGAAAGCAGCAGAUUUCUCAAAGCCACAGGAGAGAGAACAAAUACAAGGAACAAAAAUAGUCCCAGAUUUAAAUAAAUAAAUACACCCCUCCACACACAUAUACAUGUAUGUGUGUGCCUCUGUGUUUUUGUGUAAGAAAGUACACCAUGAUAUGAGCAGUGGAUAUCACUGGGUAGUAACAGUAUAGGAAAUUUUCAUUUUCUACUUUGUGUUUUUCUGUAAUUUCCAACUUUUCUAUAAUAA